rnacentral:pre_miRNA from 1 species
UAACCUCUUUGGGGUCAUAGACCCCUUCUAUAGUCUUGCAAAAUCCACAGGUUACUUCUCAGAAUCAUUUUUGUAAAUGUAUAAAAUAAGGUAUUUACAAUUACAAAGGAAAUGAAUACUAUUGAAACACACAAUGAAAAU